UCCCUAGUGGUCCAGUAGUUAAGCCUCUGUGCUUCUAAUGCAGGGGACCUGGGUUCGAUCCCUAGUCGGGGAA
rnacentral:tRNA from 1 species